UACGAAGGGGGCUAGCGUUGUUCGGAAUUACUGGGCGUAAAGCGCGCGCAGGCGGCCUUCCAAGUCAGAGGUGAAAGCCCGGAGCUCAACUCCGGAACUGCCAUUGAAACUGUGAGACUUGAGUACGAGAGAGGUGAGUGGAAUUCCCAGUGUAGAGGUGAAAUUCGUAGAUAUUGGGAAGAACACCGGUGGCGAAGGCGGCUCACUGGCUCAUUACUGACGCUCAGGCGCGAUAGCGUGGGGAUCAAACAGG
rnacentral:rRNA from 1 species